GGACUACCCGGGUAUCUAAUCCUUUUUGCUCCCCACGCUUUCGUCUCUCAGUGUCAGGGUCGCCCCAGCAAACUGCCUUCGCUUUUGGUGUUCCCGAUGAUAUCAACGGAUUUCACCCCUACUCCAUCGGUUCCGUUUGCCUCUAACGCCCUCUUAGUCUAGCAGUAUUCUGAACAGCUCAAAGGUUAAGCCGAUGAGGUUUAAUUCAGAACUUACUUGACCACCUACAGACCCUUUACGCCCAAUAAAUCCGGGUAACGCUCGGGGAUUCUGUAUUACCGCGGCUGCUGGCAC
rnacentral:rRNA from 1 species